GGAUGUGAGGGCAAUCUGACUACUGCAUCUGCCACCCCGUUGGUGACCAGGGUUAAUUCAGCUGAUGUGUGUGGGAGUGAGUGUUCCACUGUGCGCCUCUCCCAAAGCUGUGCACCCACGCUCGCUGAAGAGGACGACACCUGAGCUAGGUCAGUGGUAGAGGAGUAGCUGUACUCCCCGCUAGAACUUCCAGACAAACUCAAGAAAGAAAAAAAAAACUGGUGAAAUAAAAAUUGAAAACUUAUCUGCUGAUGAGGUGGCACAAACCCAUAAUCCCAGC
rnacentral:sRNA from 1 species